CCUCCAGACGCGGCCGACCAGGUCUCACCUGGCGCAUCUUCCCCGGCGCCAGGUGGCCAGCAGGGUCCUCGCGACCGCUUCCGGUAGGUGU
rnacentral:ncRNA from 1 species